ensembl:lncRNA
AAUGCCUCUUAAUAGUGUUCAGUUAUUUCUAGAACCCUGAAAGUUUGUGGAAAUCCACCUAGAACAGGGGUGGGGAACCUGUGACCUCGAGGCCACAUGUGGCUUUCUAGAUCCUUGGGUGAGGCCUUUUGACUGAGUCCAAGUUUUAUAGAACAAAUCCUUUCAUUAAGGGGGUUUUUUCUCUGAAGUUUGGAUUCAGUCAAAGGGCUGUGCUUGAGGACCUAGAGGGUGGCCUCGAGGCUGCAGGUUCCUCACCCGUGACCUAGAAGGAAAACUUAUUGAGAGAUUUGAAGACAGGACAGGGAAAGUAAGCUACUGGUUUGGUCCCCAGAAGAAGAUGACUGGAGAAUCUAGUAGAUGGGGGGAUGAAUGAAAGGUGGGCAGAGAGAUUGAGCGAGAAAUUUCAGGAGAAACCACCCAUGAGAAUGACCAUAUCCUGUAAGCCACUAAUGAGGAUUUUUUGCACUAAAUCUCACAGGACCAACAGGUUUCGUAAACUUGUAUGCUUCUCCUACAGGUCCUUCCCCUAAGGGCAAAGCCACUGUGAAUACAGAGAGCCCAGAGGAUUCCAGCGAAGAGGAAAUGAUAGAGCCUUCCCAGUCUGUCCUUUCAGGUUAUGCAUUUCCCAGUUCAUCUCUCCCUGUAUCCAUAAACCCUCAGCUACAGAAGGCACCUCCCAAGCAAAGACUUGCAGCGAUUGCCUCUGCAGGCCCAGCUCUGCCAGUGUCUUACAAAGGAAGUCCUCAGAGUGACAGCAGUGAUUCUGAGGUAGAGUGCAAGACAGAAUCAGAAGAGCAGCCUCCCCAGACUGGGAAAAAAUUGAAGACCUCAGUCUCCAGGCAUCAGUCGAUUGGAAAGGGGUUCAAGUCAGGCGCAGUCGAUUGUAAACCUGCCUCACCCAAACAUGGGAUCAGCUGUCAGAGUCCCGUAAAGUCUAUGGAUCCUUCCAACCUCCCUUCUCUAAUUCGGCUACAGAUCUCAAGUGCUGAUGAGAACUCAGAGCUUAACAAUGCAUCUCUCAACUCCAAGGCCUCUGGAAUAAGAAUGCUCAGUGACUUGCUGAAGCUAGAAAAGAAGAAUAAAAGUACUGAAUCCUCAAAGUCAGGCAAGGGGAGCAAGAAAUCAAAAUCAAAACGAAAACUGACAGAAGACAGCCCUGUUGCUAAAGCCCCCAAGAGCAAGAAGAAGAAGUUGAUGAGUGAGGUCCCUAAGGAAGGGGAGACUUUGCAAGAAAAAACCAUUGGGACUACCAAGGUGGGGAAAAAAGAGAAAGCAAGUGGUGAUGCUAAAGAAAAGAAGCCAAAGGGGGUUCAUAGCUCCAAGAAGAACAAAGAGAAGCCACAAGGAAACAUUACAGUCACAGUGGGAGAAAGUGGAAAAACGCUAGGCCCCAAGACCAAAAAAGAGAAGAAGCAAAAGAAGAAAUCUGACAAGAAGAAAAAGAGCAAGGACAAAAAGGAUAAGAAGAAGAAAAAGCAGUCCAUUUCCAAAAAUCCUGACCCUGCCUCAGUAUCCCUCAAGAAAGAGAAGAAAAAGAAAAAGAAAGUUAAACAAAUAGAUUGAGAGGCAUUAAGCAGCAGGAUUUCUCUAGCCAAGUCUUGAAUGUCGAUGUCAACCUCCCACUUGGGGGAAAAAAAACCCAACCAAAUCCCAGCAUGACCCGUGAGCCAGUGGAUCCAGCAGGAGCGCACUAGGGCACCGAGAGAGCGCACUGCACUCAAAUGUGUCCCUAAUGAAUUGAGUGAUCUCCAUAGAGAUUAUACCCAAUAUUUAUAUAUGUAUGUAUAUGUAUGUAUAUAUAUAUAUAUGUACAGUAUUUUUUUAAAAGAGAGACUCUCCCUUUCUCCCACUGACAUUCCUUUGGUACUCCUUGGCUGCAGAGCCUUUCCUUCCAAACUUUGCCUAGAAGACCUGGGGAAUGCCACGGCUGCCCCUGUGGAGACAGAGCUCAUCCUCAUGGAAUCUUGGUCUCAAGCAGGUGGCUGCACUUGAGUGGCUUUCCUGUGUCUUAACUUUUUAUCUAACGUGUUUAUACAGAACUCUGCAAAUAAAAGAUUGGUGUGGAAGAGUCCCUGACUGCUG